rnacentral:rRNA from 1 species
AGAGUUUGAUCAUGGCUCAGAAUCAACGCUGGCGGCGCGCUUAACACAUGCAAGUCGCACGAGAAAGUGGAGCAAUCCAUGAGUAAAGUGGCGUACGGGUGAGUAACACGUGGGUAAUCUACCUCUUAGUGGGGAAUAACUCUGGGAAACCGGAGCUAAUACCGCAUAAGCCUGGAAAGGGAAAGCAGCAAUGCGCUGAGAGAGGAGCCCGCGGCCGAUUAGCUAGUUGGUAGGGUAAAGGCCUACCAAGGCAAUGAUCGGUAGCCGGCCUGAGAGGGCACACGGCCACACUGGCACUGAAACACGGGCCAGACUCCUACGGGAGGCAGCAGUGGGGAAUCUUGCACAAUGGGGGAAACCCUGAUGCAGCGACGCCGCGUGAGCGAUGAAGCCCUUCGGGGUGUAAAGCUCUUUCGGCAGGAACGAUAAUGACGGUACCUGAAGAAGAAGCUGCGGCUAACUACGUGCCAGCAGCCGCGGUAAUACGUAGGCAGCAAGCGUUGUUCGGAGUUACUGGGCGUAAAGAGUGUGUAGGCUGUUCUCUAAGUUUGGUGUGAAAUUUCCCGGCUCAACUGGGAGGGUGCGCCGAAAACUGGAGGGCUCGAGUAUGGGAGAGGAAAGCGGAAUUCCUGGUGUAGCGGUGAAAUGCGUAGAUAUCAGGAGGAACACCUGCGGUGUAGACAGCUUUCUGGACCAUCACUGACGCUGAGACACGAAAGCGUGGGUAGCAAACAGGAUUAGAUACCCUGGUAGUCCACGCCCUAAACGAUGCAUACUUGGUGUGAGCCGUUCAUUCGGUUCGUGCCGGAGCUAACGCGUUAAGUAUGCCGCCUGGGGAGUACGGUCGCAAGGCUGAAACUCAAAGGAAUUGACGGGGGCCCGCACAAGCGGUGGAGCAUGUGGUUUAAUUCGACGCAACGCGAAGAACCUUACCUGGCUCGAACGGCUUUGGCAACUCCGUGGAAACAUGGGGCCUCCCCGCAAGGGACCGGGAGUCGAG